rnacentral:rRNA from 1 species
UACGUAGGGUGCAGGCGUUAAUCGGAAUUACUGGGCGUAAAGCGUGCGCAGGCGGUCUUUCAAGUCAGUGGUGAAAGCCCGGAGCUCAACUCCGGAAAUGCCAUUGAAACUGUGAGACUUGAGGACGAGAGAGGUGAGUGGAAUUCCCAGUGUAGAGGUGAAAUUCGUAGAUAUUGGGAAGAACACCGGUGGCGAAGGCGGCUCACUGGCUCGUUUCUGACGCUCAAGCGCGACAGCGUGGGGAUCAAACAGG